UCCCGUGCGUACCCACAGUUCGGGUUCAGGGUGGUUUUCCACGACGGGACUGCUUCAGUUCAUGGUUGACAUCCGCUGCUGCUGGUGGUUGCGGUGAUUUUUAGUGCGAGCGUGAUUUCCACCAACCGCAGUCCUACUAGUGGCAGUUCGUAAUGUUCAAACGACUUGCAACAUCGAGGCAGUAAGUGUGUUAGUGUCCGUGAAGUGGAAAGAAUAAAAAUGGAGCGAAAAUGUUAUGACCAAUGCUUGUGAUUUAUGGUGCAUGGAGAGGUUUGUUUAACUUUCGACCUGUUGCACCUGUUAUUUGAUGUGUUCUGGGUGAUUCAUUCCCGUAUACGUUAAUUUUAAUAUUGAAGCUGGUACGGUGAUCGUUUAUAUUUUGUGCAGCAUACUCUCGAAGCAUACUUAAAGCUAAGAUGAGCUAGGUGAAUUGGCCGUUGUGGGUGUGUGAGCGUGCCUGUGUGAUUAUUUGUAGCUGUGCAGUGUUAAGUGAGAAGAAGAGAUACUAACCGUACCGAACCGACAACUCAAUCACAAUGGCAAUCGAAAACUACACGCUGAUGCUGAUGGAUGCGACGAAUCGUCACAAUCUGUCUGCGUUCAGUACCGACGCCGGUCCAACCAUGUCGCACGAUGAAACGAUGGAAAUGAUUGUGAAGGGUUGGUGGGGAGACGGGUCUCAAUCUGCCCUGAUUCUUCUGCUCUCCCUCUCAUCCGGAUGUUGAGCAUCGUCAGUUUAUCCAGAACAUUUGCUGAGAAAAGAUGUGCUGAAGUGAUGUGUGAUUUCUUCCGUAUUUUCCUCCUCUAUGUUUUACGCCGCGGGCCUUCUUCUUCAAUUGUGGAAUAGUUUAUCCUAGCAAAUUUUACAGCUGUUCUCGUGAGUGCUUUAAUGGAUACAUUCAUCAAAAGCUUGUCAUCUACGGCUCAUCGACGGCUACCUGAUGGCCUUGUCAACAACGUGCACGAUCAUCUGUAGAAGGAAAACGUUGUCUGGUUUUACAAUAUUAAGCUUUCAACGCAGCUAAAUCAUAGAAGAACGCACUUCAAGGACGCCAAGGACGCGUCUAAAGAUGCGCAGCACCAGUCGAUGACGUCAUCGUAGCCAGACCAGACAUGUGCCGGUUGAACACGCGCAGCACCAGUCGAUGAUAUUCUUAGGCGCUGGGUGGAAAGAAAAGUGGAAGGAAGGGUAACGAAAAAUUACCGCUUCAUUUGGAAGGGACAAAGCAUUCUGCCGAGUACUGGGUGUGACUGGGUCUGGGUCAUACAAUUCAUUUCACGACCCGACCCGUUGUAAGGUGCAAACCUUUCGGAAAUAAUUCCAAUCCGUGGAUGCAACGGGUGCACUAGAUCAAAGUCGGAAUCAAAUCCAACCCAUGGGUGUAAUGAGUUUGAGUCGACCCGAAUAACCAGAAGGUGCAACAAAGCAUAAGCAAGUCCGAUCCUAAGGGGCAUCAAACCAGUGGGUUUGGGUCGAACCGCCCAUCAAUAGUACAGAGUGUGAGUUUGCCAAAACGCACGUGGAAACAGUGAGAAAAAUGUUCAAUAAAAAGCAUGCGACAAUGUG